AAAUUGAUUAAAUAACUGAGAUAAUGCCUAGCAAUACUGUUUACCAUGUCAAGCAAGAGCCGGAUAGAAAAAGGUCACUAUAAGAGAAAGUAGGGUCAUUAUGGGAAAUUCACUCCAUCUAAUCAAUAAAAGUCCCGUCCCACCAUCUCCCCUUCAAGUGAGUACCCAAGCAGCAACUGCAACAUCGCAGCACGGCAGCCAUUCAACCCCCUCCCUCCUUUUCUCUCUCUACCACCCAAGAGGGGAGAAGAAACCGAGAGGAGAAAACUAAAAGAAUCUCCACCCUCCAAGAAGUCCAUCUCCAAUCCCCCUAUCUUUCUUCCGGAUGGCCCAGCUGGUUCAGGAGUAAUGUGAGGGAGGGAAAACCAAGACCAAAACCAAAAAGAGAAGGGAUGAAAGAUAAGAGUGGCUUCAGGCGUCUAUCAAGCCAACCAAAUCCCUCCUCUCUCUCUCUCUCCCCACCCAAAACAAAACUAUUGCCCCUCCGCAGGUCAGGAAACUCUCCACCUCUCUUCCAUCAAGGGGGAAGACUCGUAGCCAGCCCCUGAUCCCGUUUUAUAUGGGGCCUUUGCUUCUUUUUGGCCAGCCUCCCGGG
rnacentral:lncRNA from 1 species